UCUUCAUUCUGCAUGCUCUCUCGCCGGUCAGAGAGGGCGAGAGAGUGCGCGAAAUGAGGAGA
rnacentral:pre_miRNA from 1 species